GGGGACCUAAUUGACGCAAAUCUGCAUAAAUAGGGAUAUCUGAAUCAAUUAAACCUUUAUUUAUCGAUACUGCGAAAAACUCCUUUUCUCACUAAACAAAGCCUAAACCUUGGAGAAAGGAGAUAUCUUUUUUCAUACGCGAGAGAGGUAGAGAGGCAGAAUGCUACAACGCUUAUGGAGAAACAUUGGUAGAUGUCACUUUCGAUGUUCCAAUGGAUGAGAAAACAAGAGCAAAUUGCGAGAGGGAGACAAUGCAAAAAUGCGAAAACAAAAUGAGACAACAUAGAGAUGAAGAGAGAUUUUAGUGGAUGUCACGGUGGUCGGUGAGAAUGAUGGACAACUAAGAGACAACAGAAAGACUUGAGAUACAGAGAGAUUUCAAGUUGUUGAGAGGAAGAAGAUGAACUCCUUUUCUCGUUCCCAAAACACCCUCUGCAUAAGAUUUCAUUUCUGAAAAUAUUAUUUGAAAUGGACCAAUCAAAUGUCGCCACUUGGCGUUGUAAAAAAGUU
rnacentral:lncRNA from 1 species